UACGUAGGGCGCAAGCGUUAUCCGGAAUUAUUGGGCGUAAAGAGCUCGUAGGCGGUUUGUCGCGUCUGCCGUGAAAGUCCGGGGCUCAACUCCGGAUCUGCGGUGGGUACGGGCAGACUAGAGUGAUGUAGGGGAGACUGGAAUUCCUGGUGUAGCGGUGAAAUGCGUAGAUAUCAUUUGGAACGCCAACGGCGAAAAGCAGGCAGCUGGGGGAUGCACCGACGCUGAGACACGAAAGCCAGGGGAGCGAACGGG
rnacentral:rRNA from 1 species